UACGAAGGGGGCUAGCGUUGCUCGGAAUCACUGGGCGUAAAGGGUGCGUAGGCGGAUCUUUAAGUCAGGGGUGAAAUCCUGGAGCUCAACUCCAGAACUGCCUUUGAUACUGAAGGUCUUGAGUUCGGGAGAGGUGAGUGGAACUGCGAGUGUAGAGGUGAAAUUCGUAGAUAUUCGCAAGAACACCAGUGGCGAAGGCGGCUCACUGGCCCGAUACUGACGCUGAGGCACGAAAGCGUGGGGAGCAAACAGG
rnacentral:rRNA from 1 species